UCGGGUUGUAAAGCACUUUUGUCCGGAAAGAAAACUUCUGCAUUAAUACUGCGGGAGGAUGACGGUACCGGAAGAAUAAGCACCGGCUAACUACGUGCCAGCAGCGCGGUAAUCGUAGGGUGCGAGCGUUAAUCGGAAUUACUGGGCGUAAAGCGUGCGCAGGCGGUUCGUUAAGACAGAUGUGAAAUCCCCGGGCUUAACCUGGGAACUGCAUUUGUGACUGGCGAGCUAGAGUAUGGCAGAGGGGGGUAGAAUUCCACGUGUAGCAGUGGAAUGCGUAGAGAUGUGGAGGAAUACCGAUGGCGAAGGCAGCCCCCUGGGCCAAUACUGACGCUCAUGCACGAAAGCGUGGGGAGCAAACAGGAUUAGAUACCCUGGUAGUCCACGCCCUAAACGAUGUCAACUAGUUGUUGGGGAUUCAUUUCCUUAGUAACGUAGCUAACGCGUGAAGUUGACCGCCUGGGGAGUACGGUCGCAAGAUUAAAACUCAAAGGAAUUGACGGGGACCCGCACAAGCGGUGGAUGAUGGUGGAUUAAUUCGAUGCAACGCGAAAAACCUUACCUACCCUUGACAUGGUCGGAACCCUGCUG
rnacentral:rRNA from 1 species